GAAAGAUCCCUGAGUGUUUUUGUAAGUGUUGGAGAUCCACAGUAGAAAACACCUGCCGAUUUAUGGAACAUCUUAGUAUAUAUCUUUGUAAUUAAAAGUAAGAUUUGCCACUUGAUUUUUUUUCAGACGUGACUCACCUAUACGGGCGUUCUUGUGAGCAUUGGCCAAAUCAGAGAACACCUUUCUCCAGUUUGGCCUUGCAAAAUGUGUCCGAAUCUGCAAAAUAGCAGUCAGGAAAGGAAGCAACCAUGGUGCGUCUUUUUAUUUUGCAGGUAGCAGGGGGAGUGAGAAGAGAAGAACCUUGCUGCCGGAGACGAUAUCCACACCAUUUUUUGCAUGUUGGAGUGAUUGAACCAUGGCAAUCAGAGCUGACCUUGCAUCGCCUUCCUCAUACACGCUGGUCAGGAGAUCCUUCAGUAUGCUGAUGAAAGGAGUUGCACCGAUUCCAAGCCCAAUAAGCAAAAGAAUGUCAUAUUUCCUGUAAUUUUGAGCUGGUGCACCAAAAGGGCCAUCUAUAAAGACCUUGGGAAACCUAAAUGAAGGGAGAGCGGUGCAGAAGUGAUGGAGAAGGGAUGCCUGUAAACAUUGAAGAGUUUCAAGCCAAAGCAUUGGAAAAAUCAUGACUUGGACGAUGAGAUGGUAUGGUACGGCACCAUUCGAAAGGCGAAACAUCUGGGCAUUUUACAAAAAGGUACAUCCCACUUUUGUAUUUGAAAGUAGGGGGCUUCUUCAUGUGAAUAGAGAGCACAUUUCCUGGGUAAAUUGCUGCCUGCAUGAUACAUUGGAUCAUCAGUUACUACUUACUAAUGAACUGAAAGAACUCAUACUUGGUACUCAUUCAUGUAUAAUCUAUAGCUUACCUUAA